rnacentral:lncRNA from 1 species
GUGUUACUAUGUUAUGAUAAUAGGAGUUGAAAUACUGGUUGGUUUUUGUUUUUUGUUAUGUGAUUUCCAGAUAUUGUUAGAGUAUGCCACUAUAUAUAUUAUGAUAUGAGUACAUGUAUGAAUAGAAUAAUUAGAUUGCAUAAAUAAUAAUUAUAAUCGUUUAAUACCAAUUUAAUCAUUUAUGAAUAUAAGUCAAUGAUUUUUAUUUU